UACAAAUUCCCCUUGCAAACUCCCGUUUAGAGCUCUGUUUGCUAGCUCCUGUGCCGCUGCAGCUGUCUGUCCCAUUUGUUUUAUCCUUCCAAACAAAUCAGCUAGGUCUAAGUUCCAAGUGGCAUGUCAAAGGCAGUAAAAAGGAAUCUAGGGAGAUUUUGUACCUGUACAAGAGAGAAAAUUAUUACUCCUAAGGGGCAGAAGGAAGGGACAGACAAAUAAUGUGGGAGUAGAGGAAAAAAUAUAAACCUUUGUCAUUCAUUAAGUCCAAUUCCAUCUCUACUUCCUCACAACAACAUGUGUCUUUAGGAGUAUGAUCCGGCCCAAGAAGAGCAGUAAAGGCUAAGGGAUAGGAAAAAGGAGCAGGGAAAUAGGCUUAGGUACCAGAGGCAGUAAAAGGAAAAAUGUAAAUCAGACAACCAGAAGCGCAUCAAGGAGAAAGUCACAGAGGCUUGGUACAGGCAAUGGUUCUCAACUUUUUUGGGUUCAGGACCCAUUUGUAAAUGUUUAUGGCCUGUCAAGACCCAGAAAAUAGUCUGGGGGUAGAGGCCUAGGGUGGUUUUAGUUGGAUCCCCCUGGGGGUCUUGGGUCCUGCCUGGCACUCACUCCACAGUGGCAGCUCCUGAGCUGAGGGGCUGGCUAAACUUUGCUCUCUGCUCCAGGUAUUGCAACCUCUGGAGUUGCAGUGCCCCAGCCCCUUGACUGGACCAAAUUUGUUUGAGUGGCAUUAUGACCUGGCUCGUGGGGUUGCAGUGUCACUCUCUCAAAUUUGGUCUACCUGGACUCCUGUCAUGAUGGCUGGGGAAAACCUGAGUGGCAGCACUGGGACCCCAGAGGUUGUAGUGCCUGCAGCAUGAGAUAGGAGCCACAGGAGCUGCCACACAACCCUUUGAAACAUUCUGGCAACCCAAUUUUGGGUCCCAACCCACUGGGUAAAAACCCUGAACUAGAGCCUCAAUGAGAACUAGGGGGAAAGAAAACUACCUCUGCAGCAGGGGACACUUGCAGGUUUAAACUAUUGUAAAUGGUGGAGCCUCUGUUCACUUGAAGUCUUUCAAUCAUAAUUUGAGGACUUCAAUAACUCAGCCAGAGGUUAUAGCUCUAUUACAGCAGUGGGUGGAUGAGGUGCAAGAGUUCAGACAAGAUGAUCAUGAUGGUCCCUUAUGGCCUUAAAGUCCAUGAGUCUACUCGUUCCCUUCUUGUGGACAGUUUUGUACCCUAAUCUUUUUGCUUAGAAACAUUCCCGUCAAUACAGAAUAUGAAGUUUCUUCGUCAUCACUAUGCAGGGUUCACAGAGAUGGACCAAGAAAAUGGUGUUUGCAUCUGGAUUAAGUUUAGAUUAAGUUUUGGGUUAGUCAGCACCAACUUGUUCUUGUGCAACUUUGCUCCAAAGAAAGAUGGAUUUUUAGAAAGUCAGUUUUUCAUUUGAAUUUUGGCUGCAUCCAGACUAGGAUACAUAUCCCCUUCUAGUUUUGGAUUAGAUGUGAAACAAAAAUUGUACAGAUAGGCAUGGAUAAAGAAAAUUCAAAUAUAUAGCCUGGCCCAAAUUCACCAUUCUAAUUCUGGCCAUCUCUAUUUACAUUAUAACUGAGCAGGAAAAUUAGCAUAGAAGUACAGGGGAAGGAUAAAUUGAAUAGGAGGUGAAGCACAAGUUGGAGACCUAUUGAUAUAAAAACAUGAACUAGAAAAGGACAGUUAAUAGUAGCAAAUGGGACCACAAAGCAGCACUGGAAAGGACUGCUCUCCGUAAUAAGACUACAUGAGACACACACAUAGAACAAAAUUCAGACAAUUAGGCCAGAUCUACACUGCAAAAAAUAUUAAGUGAUUGCAAUAAUGCUUAAAUAACCAAAGGAAGUUUUAAUUCAGAAAAUCUUAAAUAUUUAAGAAUGAUAUUGCCAUUAAAUAGAGUGCCAGUUGUGCAUUUGGCUCCAGAGGGCUAUGCAACAGAGAAUUCUAAUAAAGACAAUUACAGAAAAUACAACAAUGGCCAAAGCGUUAAAUGCCUUUUUGCUUUAGUUUUCACCCAAAAAAUUAGCAGUGAUUGGACACUAAACAGUGAACAUCAGCGUAAAUGGGAUAGGAUCUGAGGCUAAAAUAGGAAAAGAACAAGUUAAGAAUUACUUAGACAAGUUAGAGGUCUUCAUAUCAGCCGGGCCGGAUGAAAUAAUCCUAGAAUACUUAAGGAUCCGGCAGAAGAGAUCUAUGAGCCAUUAGCGAUUACCUUUGAGAACAUGUGGAAAACAGAAGAGAUCCAAGAGAACUGGAAAAGGACAACUAUAGUACCUAUCACAAAAAAGAUGAAUAAGGACAACCGAUGGAAUCACAGACAAGUCAGCUUAACUUUGGUACCCGGAAAGAUAAAAGGAGCAAAUAAUCAAACAAUCAAUCUGUAAGUACCUAGACAAAAAUAAGGUAAUAAAUAACAAUUAACAGUCAAGAACUUAUGUCAACCCAACCUAAUAUCCUUUUUUGACAGGGUAACAAGCCUUGUGGAUAGAGGGGAAGCAGUAGAUGUAAUAUAUCUUGACUUUAGUAAGGCUUUUGACACUAUUUCACAAGACCUCUCAAGCAAACUUCAGAAAUAUCGCUUAGAUGAACCUCCUUUAAGGUGGCUGCACAACUAACUGGUUGGAAAAGCGUACUCAAAAAAUCUCCUUGGUUUUCUGACAGCCUGAUCCAGAUGACAAGAAGCAAAUGGCACAAAACAAGAAGAUUAAACAUCAGUGGCAUCUAGCCCUUCUAUGUGAAGUUAAAGUGCUGCAACAGAUCUCAUCAAAUAAGAAGAUUAAGAGAUGAUGUCAUCAAAGUCUGUAAAUACCUACGUGGACAAAAUUUCUAACAGUAGAAGAUUCUUUAAUGGACAAAGGCAUAACAAAAUCUAAUCUCUGGAAACUGAAGCUAAACAAAUUCA